AUUGAACGCUGGCGGCAGGCCUAACACAUGCAAGUCGGGCGAGAGGCGGACGGGUGAGUAAUGUAUGGGGAUCUGCCUGAUGGAGGGGGAUAACUACGGGAAACGGUAGAUAAUAGCGCAUACCAUCAGAUGAACCGAUAGUGGAUUAGCGUUUAGGUAAGGUAACGGCUUACCUAGGCGACGAUCCCUAGCUGGUCUGAGAGGAUGAUCAGCCACACUGGGACUGAGACACGGCCCAGACUCCUACGGGAGGCAGCAGUGGGGAAUAUUGCACAAUGGGCGCAAGCCUGAUGCAGCCAUGCCGCGUGUAUGAAGAAGGCCUUCGGGUUGUAAAGUACUUUCAGUCGGGAGGCGUUACCGACAGAAGAAGCACCGGCUAACUCCGUGCCAGCAGCCGCGGUAAUAC
rnacentral:rRNA from 1 species